CAGAGAAAAUGGAGAUCCAUAUUGUGAUGGCAAGAAGGAUGAGAAGUUCCUUCCUUGGAACAGAAGAUCUGCUUUAGGUUCUACAGACAUAGCUACAUUGCUCAGCACAGGAAACCCUAAAUGGAUCAUGAAGAAUUGCAUAGAAUUGAAAUGAAUGAGCAGCAAUGGCAAAUGAGGAAUGUUGAUUAGAUCUGGAAGAAAAAAUGAUCCUUCUCUUUGAAAAAGGCAUCCUUCUGUUGACCAAAGGGGCUGGCAGUGCUUAGAUUUUGGAAGAUCAGACAUUGAAGAACUGAGCAUAUCUAGAUCCUGGCAAAAAGGAACAAGAAAAAGACAAGCAAUCUCCAUUAGACUGGUGACGCCAUCUUAUUUCCCUGGAAAAGAAGCAUGGAUAUAUUGGCUUUUGGAUAUCAGAAGGAGCAGCCCAACCCUGAUUGUGCCCAGUAGAAUGUGAGCUCCUUGAUGAAAGAUCCAAGUUCUUUAAACUUUCCUGGUCCAGGAGAAAGUAUAAAGUGUCCUUUGCUGACCCGACUCAAAGAGAAGAUCCAUGAAUCUUCAGAGUCCACAAGCCAUCUGCCUAAAAGAUCUCUACUCUGGCAUAAGUCUUUACUAUUUUCUGACUUUUCCUUCUAACUUCAAUUCAAUCCAACAAACAUCUAUUAUAUUUCUACUAAAUACAAGGUCCUGAGACCCAACGAUAAAAAUGAAACUGUCCCUAUUCUCAAAACACUUACUUUCUAUUGGGGGAUCCAGCACCAAGCACCCCACAGAGUGGCCCCAUAACGAAUGCUUUUUGUUUGACUAUUUUGUGGACACAGAUAAGUAAAUACAAAGUUUAUAUUUUAAAAAAUCAAAGAAAUUUGAAGUUCAAGAAAACAUCAACAAUUGGGGGAAUCAGGAAAGACUUCUUAUAGGUGGGAACCCCAGAGCAAUGCUUGAAAGAAAGCUAAAAAUCCAAGGAAGCAAAAGUAAUUUCUGCCUUUCCUCUCCUUCACUUUAUAUGCACUGGUUCCACUCUCUUUAGCUUCUUACCAGAAAGGUGGCUACUCAGUUGGUCACUGGAAGGUGAGUGACUAAAAGAAUGUGUAAUGAUGGGGAAAAGACCAUUUUCUAAGAAAGGCAAUAAAAACCCAGACUCAAAUGCAACCUAGUUCCAUCAAAGUAAAGAACUAACAUAAAGCAGCCAUGCUGUGACCUCAGACAGGCAAAAUAUAAUUGGGAGUUAAUUUGCCAUGAAAAUCUUAAUAUGUGAACUCACAGAUGAAUGGUUUAGAAAAGCAACAGGAGUAAUGGUCAUCAUAGAUACACUGUCAAAACAACAGUGACAAGAAUCCUUUGACUCUCCAGUGGCAAUAAGUCACUGGGAAAGUGCCAGAUCAGGUAAAGUUCUUAUUUAUAAAGUUAUCUGAUGAUUUCUAAUGCUUGAAAUGGGUCCAUUUUAAUUGUCUAUAAGCAUGAAAAUAGAAAUGAGGAGCAGGAGACAGCUGGAAUUGUACUGUAAUCCCUAUUUUCUACCAACUCUGACAACUACAAAGCCAUGUCUUUAAAGUUUGGGGGUUAUUUUAUGUGACUGACAUUUUCUUAUGCUAUUAUUAAAUUCCUCACACAUUUUUCCAUUAG